CCACGCCCUGGGCACACACUCUGUGACUCCUGGGGGUGCCCCAGAGCCUCCCUCUAGACCGCCCGCCGGGAGCCCAGACGCAUCUAGCAGCCCCUGGAAGCCCCAGCCGACGACUCCAGACCCCCUCCCCUGCCGGACGCCCCCACCUUCCAGCCGGCCGAGCUGUUGCUGUCGCCUUUAUCCUUGAAGUAGGGCACGUAACGGACCAUCCAGUCGUAGAUCUGCGAGAGCGUGAGCCGCUUGUCCGGGGCGCUCUCGAUGGCUUUGGUGAUGAGGUCGGCGUAGGACAGGUUCCCCCACGCGUUCCGCCGGGAGCUCUUCGCUUUCCGCAGCGGUCCGACCUCCGCGCCCAGCGGCGGCGCUGGGGCCAUCGGCGGGGCCGUGGCUCGGCGCUCCGACCCGCAGUCCUCAGCGCCCUCGGCCACCCCUGAACCCAGCGCUCCGUCCUCGUCGCCGACCAAGUCUGGCUGCGGCAGGGGCCAGAGCGAGGACAGCAACUCUGACCUCCCAGGGAUGUUGAAAGGAAAUGAUGAAAUGAGCGCUUGACAGCCAUGCCCAGCAGAAGAAGACCCGCAUCUCACUGUGGCCUCACUGCCCUGGCCCGCCCCGUCCUGCCCACGUGACCUCUCCUCGGGAUUGUCCUGACCUAGCCUGUCAUUUUCCUGAUCCAGUGAUCCUGUCAGAACACUGAGCUGCAGUGUUCUGCUCCUGGCCCUGCUAAGUCACUUCUCUGUUCCUCAGAGCCUCUGUUUUCUGAUCAAACAGGGGACACGGGUUCGAGCCCUGGUCUGGGAAGAUCCCACAUGCCGCGGAGCAACUAAGCCCGUGCGCCACAACUACUGAGCCUGCGCUCUAGAGCUCCCGAGCCACAACUACUGAGCCUGUGUGCCAUAACGACUGAAGCCCGUGUGCCUAGAGCCCACAACAAAGAGAAGCCACCGCAAUGAGACGCCCACGCACCACAACGAAGAGUAGCCCCCGCUCGCCGCAACUAGAGAGGAAGCCCGCGCGCAGCACCGAAGACCCAACACAGCCAAAAAUAAAUAAAUAAAUAAAGUAAAUGUAUAAAAAUA